UACAGAGGUCUCAAGCGUUGUUCGGAUUUACUGGGCGUAAAGGGCGCGUAGGCGGCGCGAUAAGUUGGGCGUGAAAGGCCCGGGCUCAACCCGGGGACUGCGCUUGAUACUGUCGCGCUGUGAGUCCGGGAGAGGAUGGCGGAAUUCCCAGUGUAGAGGUGAAAUUCGUAGAUAUUGGGAAGAACACCGGUGGCGAAGGCGGCCAUCUGGACCGGCACUGACGCUGAGGCGCGAAAGCGUGGGGAGCAAACAGG
rnacentral:rRNA from 1 species